rnacentral:rRNA from 1 species
AAGAACAUAUGUGUAAGUAACUGUGCACAUCUUGACGGUACCUAAUCAGAAAGCCACGGCUAACUACGUGCCAGCAGCCGCGGUAAUACGUAGGUGGCAAGCGUUAUCCGGAAUUAUUGGGCGUAAAGCGCGCGUAGGCGGUUUUUUAAGUCUGAUGUGAAAGCCCACGGCUCAACCGUGGAGGGUCAUUGGAAACUGGAAAACUUGAGUGCAGAAGAGGAAAGUGGAAUUCCAUGUGUAGCGGUGAAAUGCGCAGAGAUAUGGAGGAACACCAGUGGCGAAGGCGACUUUCUGGUCUGUAACUGACGCUGAUGUGCGAAAGCGUGGGGAUCAAACAGGAUUAGAUACCCUGGUAGUCCACGCCGUAAACGAUGAGUGCUAAGUGUUAGGGGGUUUCCGCCCCUUAGUGCUGCAGCUAACGCAUUAAGCACUCCGCCUGGGGAGUACGACCGCAAGGUGAAACUCAAAGGAAUUGACGGC